rnacentral:rRNA from 1 species
UACGGAGGGUGCAAGCGUUAAUCGGAAUUACUGGGCGUAAAGCGUGCGUAGGCGGUUCGUUAAGUCUGUUGUGAAAGCCCCGGGCUCAACCUGGGAAUGGCAAUGGAUACUGGCGAGCUAGAGUGUGUCAGAGGAUGGUGGAAUUCCCGGUGUAGCGGUGAAAUGCGUAGAGAUCGGGAGGAAGACCUGUGGCGAAGGCGGGUUUCUGGACAGUACCUGACGCUGAGGCACGAAGGCCAGGGGAGCAAACGGG